CUGGGACGCCGAUUUUGUUCUUCUUGACUUUGAUUCCCAGACAGACUGUCUGAAUGAGGGCUCGGGGGAUUACUCAAAAGAAAGCUGCUGAAUCCAUGGUGAAGGAGAAGAGGAAUGACAGAAGAUAGGCUCCGCUUGGAGUCAGAUGCUCGGGAGCAAGACGACAUCAUGUCCGUCUCCA